GUGAAAAGAAAGUUUCUAUGCGACGGAGAUCCUAACGGGUUGUCUUCCAUUGAUCCUGAUCUCAUCGAGUUGGCUGUCAGGAAACGCCCGAGACAACGUUGUUUCGAGUGAAUGUUUCAUUAAGACAAGGACUCUUUGAUGGUGUAUAGCUGUAAUUUUGGAUUUUGGAAUUGAAAAAGGGGCUCCCUUGAAAAAGAGAAGAGAUAAGUUUGUUUUAGAGAGGUUUAUACCAUUUGGAAGAUGGCAAUGGCAUCGCAAUGUGAUGAUAAGGGUCCUUGUUAGUAUAGUAGAGGAUUAUAUAUUUAGCCUAAAAGUUGUUAGUUGAUUAUAGUCAUGUUUGAUAGCUCAGUAUCAGCAGAGAGCUGAGGUUGCGAUCCAUGAUCUGUUGACGUACUGAUAAGGACUAUUAGCCUACUGGUAGUGCAACGAAGUUUAGCUUUUCGAGACCAUACCUGUUAGUUGAGAGCUUAAGGUUUAAAGAGGGAGCUGGAGGAAUGAGGUGAGUCACUCUAAAUUGGUUUAGGAUAUUAAUUCUAGCUUAGUUUAGUUUAGGUUGUUCUACAAUUCAUCCCCUGGGUUCUAUUUUGGGUUAUUUUCUCUAGUUUAUUCUCUCUCCGUCUUCUGUCAAUUGAAUCUAAGUGUUAAAUCAAAGGAGAAUCACUUGUGCUUCUUGUCAGGUAUCCUAGAUUUUCUAGUAUAUUUGUUGAACAUUAGAGUUGAGAGCUAGGAACAAGCUCUUCCGAAAUUGUAGCUCAGUUCUAUCUAAGAAUAUUGGUAAUAAGCCCAACUCUCACCAGUGGGGAAAAAUAAUCAAAAAUGGAAUAAUGUAGUAGAAACUAUGUGCGGCAUCAAUCCGCAUCAAACAGGAUAGCUUACAAGUUUGGAAAGCAUGCUUAGCAUUCAUUAGAUGUAAUGUAUAAUAACUGCUUACCUGAUGUAGUUUCACACUAUAAGUCCAUUGUAACGGUGGACUAGGUUUAGCUUGCUUGCAAAAACAUUAGGAUAAUGUUAUUCCUAGAUGUUCGGUGCAAACAACAUAGCAUACUGACAUGGGAGAGCUUUGCUUUUAUCCAAGCCAAUCCGUGUGAAAUAAUGCACAUCGUUAAUGUUAUUGGGGAAUUUAUAUGUGGCAGAGCGAGUUUUCUUAAAGCUCUGGUAAGUAUCGAAUGUGAAUGCAUAAUCUUUGUGACUGGUCUCAGGUGGGACUUCGAGUUCAGGAAGAACAAUCCAACACGUUGCCUCCUUUGAAGACGUCGAGGUAUCUUCUGAUGACGAUAAGAUAAGAGAACACUAAGCUUAGCAAAAAGAAAAAGAAAAAAGAAGAAAAACAAAAACAAAAAGCAUAAGAUCACAGUCGAUGAAGAUGCCAAGUUGAAGAGACCCAACAAGAAGCUGAAGCUUUAGUAUCCCUUUUUUGGCUAUACAUUAUUGGCCAUAUAUAUGAUUAAGACUGGAGUUGUUUGUGAGUUUAGUACAAAUAGCUUCAUGAGUCUGAUAUUUGUAUCUUGGUUGUUUAUUGAUUCUGUUUUUAGCCUCUUAGAUCAUGAUUAGUGGUGAUGAGGUCAAGUUCAUCGCAGGAACAGGUACUUGUCAGAGUUUAUAGGUUUAAGUGUGUGUACUACUUCCAAGGGACAAGAGGAGACACAAUAUAGUACAAAAACUUUUAAGUUAUUCACUAGUACUAUGAUUUUCUUAGA